CUCAGAUCAUGAGCUCUUCGACCAAAUCUGCUGUGUUGGUAGAUUCAACGAGGAUGAGGUGAGGUAUUUCUUCUAUCAGAUUACUUGUGGUGUUAGCUACUGCCACUUCAUGCAAAUUUGACACCGGGACAUGGAAUUGGGGAAUACGUUACUGGAUGGUAAUCCAGCUCCAUGUCUCAAGAUCUGUG